ensembl:lncRNA
CUGGUCUCAAGGUUGCAUGCUAUCCGUAGCUUCCUUCACUUACCGAUGGCUCCCAUUUCUCCUGGACUGUGACCUUCCUGUUGGAUUUGCUUGAAUGGACUUCUGAGUUUUAUGUGGAUUUACCUAAGACCAGACCAAACUUAAGACAGCACGCGAGGACAAUGGGCCUUCAUCAACAUAACUCUUUGGAGUAAUGACCGCAACCAGUCUACCAUCACCCGGUUCCUCUGUCAGAAAGGCCGGGAUCUGAAAUUGUAUGUCCAGGACUUCCUCAACUGCUGUAGCUGGGCAUCCGGUGAUGACCUUACUUUAAUGGGGGGAUUUUGGUAAGGACUGGAUGAUAAUAUCCGGUUCGUUGUGACUAUGGCUGAUCCAAGCUGGGAGUUGGAUUCUUACAUCAAUUUCACUCUUUGGAUAGUUGGAUCAGCAUUCACCGUAGGCAAAGUGGCUGAUGAUCACCAGUCAUCACCAGUCAUGGCCACCAAUCCCGAGUCUGCAUGCAACACGGACGCUGACCUUCAGUCAUUACCUGUCAUAGCCACCCAGCUUUUGUUAUCACCCAUUAUGGCUGCUGAUUGUCAGUGAACACUGAUCAUGGCAACUGAUGGCCAGACAUCACACAAGGUGGCCGUCGUACUAGUACUCACUCCAGUCCCAGGCAUGACUCCAAAUCUCUGUCCAGUCCCCGUGUCAGUUCCAGAACUUAGUCUAGUCCCUAAGUCUGAUCCAGUGCCCACACAAUCUCCAUUUGUGAGAGCCUCCCCCGGGUAAGGCCGAGUCUACAAUGCAUUUCUUGAGGACCCAACUUCGGAGAUCCCAAGUCUGGUUGUCCUGGAGGACCCGAUUCUGGUGGUCCCAAGUCCUGUGCUCCAGGGGGACCCAACUUCUGAGAUCCCAAGUCCAGUGGUCCUGGAGGACCUGACCCCUGUGGUCUUUAGUUUGGUGGUCUCAGAGGUUCCUAGACAACCUGCUCUAUAACAGCAGGCCACAGAAGCCACUACAGAGCUGCCCAAUCUCACAACUGCUGCCAUAGUCAAGAAAGCUGUUUUCACCUUUAACCUCAUGGCUGUUCUGAGUGCAUGGGCCAUUUCAAGGUCUGCUCCUACAUCCACUUAAGUAUCCUCUGCAGUCUGGGAGCUAUCUAAGUCCACUGAAGUGUCAGCUCCAGCCCCAGAGUCCGCUCCAGUGUCGGCUCCAGCUCCCGAGUCUGCUCAUUACAUUAAGUUCAAUCUAGAAUCCAUUACAGUCUGAACUAAUUCAGAGUCUUUUCCAAUUCUAGAGUUCAGUCACAAGUCUGCUCCGGCCCCAAAAUUCAGUACAGAGUUUGUUCUGGCCCCUGAGUCUGCAUCAGAGCCUACUCUAACCCUUAAAUUUUCAUCAGAGCCCACUUGCACCAGUGAAUUAAAACUAAGUUUACAUUCAGUCCAAAGGCCCCUACAAGAAUCCCAUUCAGACCAUGCACCCAUCUUAGAGCACAACUCCAGAUCUGUUCAAGCCCCUGACCAGAGUCGAGAGAAACCUUGCAUUCCAGAAUCUAGCCCAGAGAGGGCUCCUGUUCCAGAGU